UAUGCUUCAUUCUGACUGCAUAGAUACAUCAAUAGCAAGAAAGCAAGAAAUAAUUCAAACAGGGAAAGCAUGAAGGCUACUAAAUUAGUGUAACAUCUAUUUAAUUUGGUAAUCUUCU
rnacentral:ribozyme from 13 species